rnacentral:rRNA from 1 species
AGGCAGCAGUGGGGAAUAUUGCGCAAUGGGCGAAAGCCUGACGCAGCGACGCCGCGUGGGGGAGGAAGGCCUCAGGGUCGUAAACCCCUGUCAGGUGGGACGAACCACGGAUCGGUCAAUACCCGGUCCGCCUGACGGUACCACCAGAGGAAGCUCCGGCUAACUCCGUGCCAGCAGCCGCGGUAAUACGGAGGGAGCUAGCGUUGUUCGGAAUCACUGGGCGUAAAGGGCGCGUAGGCGGUCGGGUAAGUCGGGUGUGAAAUUCCGGGGCUCAACCCCGCGAACUGCAUCCGAUACUGCUCGACUAGAGAGAGGUAGGGGCGAGUAGAAUUCCCGGUGUAGCGGUGGAAUGCGUAGAUAUCGGGAAGAACACCGGUGGCGAAGGCGGCUCGCUGGGCCUUAUCUGACGCUGAAGCGCGAAAGCGUGGGGAGCAAACAGGAUUAGAUACCCUGGUAGUCCACGCCGUAAACGAUGGGUACUAGGUGUUGGGAGGAUUGACCCUCUCAGUGCCGACGCUAACGCAUUAAGUACCCCGCCUGGGGAGUACGGCCGCAAGGCUGAAACUCAAAUGAAUUGACGG